GGGAAAUCAUAAAAUUGUCGGACUCUUAAUCCGUAGGUCGAGUGUUCGAGCCACUCACAGCCCACCA
rnacentral:tRNA from 1 species